rnacentral:rRNA from 1 species
CCGGAGGUCAUUGCUAGUGGAGUCCGAUUUAGCCAUGCUAGUUGCACGGGUUUGGACCCGUAGCAGAUAGCUCAGUAACACGUGGCCAAACUACCCUCUGGAUCGGGAUAACCUCGGGAAACUGAGGCUAAUCCCGACUAGCGUUCUCACCCUGGAGUGGGGAGAACGUGAAACGCUCCGGCGCCAGAGGAUGUGGCUGCGGCCGAUUAGGUAGACGGUGGGGUAACGGCCCACCGUGCCAGUAAUCGGUACGGGUUGUGAGAGCAAGAGCCCGGAGACGGUAUCUGAGACAAGAUACCGGGCCCUACGGGGCGCAGCAGGCGCGAAACCUUUACACUGCACGCCAGUGCGAUAAGGGGACUCCAUCUGCGAGGGCAUAUCGUCCUCGCUUUUCUGCACCGUAAGGUGGUGCAGGAAUAAGGGCUGGGCAAGACCGGUGCCAGCCGCCGCGGUAAUACCGGCAGCCCGAGUGAUGACCGCUAUUAUUGGGCCUAAAGCGUCCGUAGCUGGCCAGGCAAGUCCAUCGGGAAAUCCGCAUGCCCAACAUGCGGGCGUCCGGUGGAACCUGCUUGGCUUGGGACCGGAAGACCUGAGGGGUACGUCCGGGGUAGGAGUGAAAUCCCGUAAUCCUGGACGGACCACCGGUGGCGAAAGCGCCUCAGGAAGACGGAUCCGACGGUGAGGGACGAAAGCUCGGGUCACGAACCGGAUUAGAUACCCGGGUAGUCCGAGCUGUAAACGAUGUCUGCUAGGUGUGGCACAGGCUACGAGCCUGUGCUGUGCCGUAGGGAAGCCGUGAAGCAGACCGCCUGGGAAGUACGUCCGCAAGGAUGAAACUUAAAGGAAUUGGCGGGGGAGCACUACAACCGGAGGAGCCUGCGG